UGCUCACUGUCCGGGGCCGUUUAAGGCCUGGGUGGUCAAGCGAAAGCGUUAAGCAUUCCACCUGGGGAGUACGCCGGCAACGGUGAAACUCAAAGGAAUUGACGGGGGCCCGCACAAGCGGAGGAACAUGUGGUUUAAUUCGAUGAUACGCGAGGAACCUUACCCGGGCUCAAACGGAAGGGGACAGUAUGAGAAAUCAUACAUUCCUUCGGGACCGCUUCCGAGGUGCUGCAUGGUUGUCGUCAGCUCGUGCCGUGAGGUGUCGGCUUAAGUGCCAUAACGAGCGCAACCCCUAUCGACAGUUGCUAGCAGGUAAAGCUGAGGACUCUGUCGAGACUGCCGGCGCAAGCUGUGAGGAAGGCGGGGAUGACGUCAAAUCAGCACGGCCCUUACGUCCGGGGCGACACACGUGUUACAAUGGCAGGUACAGCGGGAAGCCACCCGGCGACGGGGCGCAGAACCCGAAAACCUGUCUCAGUUCGGAUUGGAGUCUGCAACCCGACUCCAUGAAGCUGGAUUCGCUAGUAAUCGCGCAUC
rnacentral:rRNA from 1 species